UAGACGUCGAUCCAGGUGCAUAAUCAGCGCUGGCGGCGCGCCUAACACAUGCAAGUCGAACGAGAAAGUGGAGCAAUCCAUGAGUAAAGUGGCGUACGGGUGAGUAACACGUGGAUCAUGGACCCUCUAGUGGGGAAUACCGCUGGGAAACCGGCGACAAUACCGCAUAAGCUCGAGAGAGGAAAGCAGCAAUGCGCUGGAGGAGGAGUCCGCGGUCUUUUAGGCCCUUGGNAGGGUAACCCCCUANNAACACUGUGAUCGAUANCCGGCCUGAGAGGGCACACGGCCACACUGGGACUGGAACACGGCCCAGACUCCCGACGGGAGGCAGCAGCGACGAACCCNGCCCAAGGGGGGCAACCCGGACGCCCCAACGCCGCGUGAGCGACGACGGCCGCCC
rnacentral:rRNA from 1 species